AUACGGAGGAUCCGAGCGUUAUCCGGAUUUAUUGGGUUUAAAGGGAGCGUAGGCGGACGCUUAAGUCAGUUGUGAAAGUUUGCGGCUCAACCGUAAAAUUGCAGUUGAUACUGGGUGUCUUGAGUACAGUAGAGGCAGGCGGAAUUCGUGGUGGUGCGGUGAAAUGCUUAGAUAUCACGAAGAACUCCGAUCGCGAAGGCAGCUCACCGGGCCGGAACUGACACUGAUGCUCGAAAGUGCGGGUAUCAAACAGGAUUAGAUACCCUGGUAGUCCGCACAGUAAACGAUGAAUACUCGCUGUUUGCGAUAUACGGUCGGUGGCCAAGCGAAAGCGUUAAGUAUCCCACCUGGGGAGUACGCCGGCAACGGUGAAACUCAAAGGAAUUGGCGGGG
rnacentral:rRNA from 1 species